rnacentral:miRNA from 1 species
GAGAUUCAGAGGAUUAAAGGUCAUUUCCUUGAGGAGUAAAGUCCUGGGCAGGUUUGGAGUGGUCAGCAAGGCCCUUUGUGUCUCUCUAG